rnacentral:rRNA from 1 species
CCGCAUCGGGAUGGGCCCGCGGCCCAUUAGCUUGUUGGUGAGGUAACGGCUCACCAAGGCCAAGAUGUCUAGCGGGUGUGAGAGCACGACCCGCGCCACUGGCACUGUGACACUGGCCAGACUCCUACGGGAGGCUGCAGUCGAGGAUCUUCGGCAAUGGGCGCAAGCCUGACCGAGCGACGCCGCGUGUGCGAUGAAGGCCUUCGGGUUGUAAAGCACUGUCGAGGGGGAUAAAGCCGAAAGGUUGAUAGAUCCCUGGAGGAAGCACGGGCUAAGUUCGUGCCAGCAGCCGCGGUAAGACGAACCGUGCGAACGUUGUUCGGAAUCACUGGGCUUAAAGGGCGCGUAGGCGGGGUCAUAAGUCUGUGGUGAAAUCCCCCGGCUCAACCGGGGAACUGCCGUGGAUACUGUGACUCUCGAGGGGUGUAGGGGCAUGCGGAACUUCGGGUGGAGCGGUGAAAUGCGUAGAUAUCCGAAGGAACGCCGGUGGCGAAAGCGGCGUGCUGGACACCUUCUGACGCUGAGGCGCGAAAGCCAGGGGAGCAAACGGGAUUAGAUACCCCGGUAGUCCUGGCCCUAAACGAUGGGUACUAGAUUGUGGACUGUACAUGGGUUCACAGUCGAAGCAAAAGUGUUAAGUACCCCGCCUGGGGAGUAUGGUCGCAAGGCUGAA